rnacentral:rRNA from 1 species
GACAGAGGUCCCGAGCGUUAGGCGGAAUCACUGGGCUUAAAGCGUGUGUAGGCGGACUUCUAAGUACCUUGUGAAAUCCCACGGCUUAACCGUGGAACUGCUUGGUAUACUGGUUGUCUUGGGCCAUCGUAGGGGCUACCGGAACAAACGGUGGAGCGGUGAAAUGCGUAGAUAUCGUUUGGAACGCCAAUGGUGAAAACAGGUAGCUGGG